GAGAGAGAGAGAGGUUCGAGGAAGGAAACAUGAUGCUGGUGUGGGUUUUGGUGCUGACCGCACUGCUUGCCAGUGAUGUGGCAGAGACGACCGAUUCCUUGGAACGUGAGGUGACUCAGCAUCACCUUGAAAAACGUGACAUAGUCAAAGGACCGUGUGCUGAAAAUUGGUUUUAUUAUCCUACCUUAUGUUCCUGUUACCGG